GAAAUGCGAUAAGUAAUGUGAAUUGCUUCUCCGUGAAUCAUCAAAUCUUUGAACGCACAUUGCACUCAUUGGUAAUCCGAUGAGUAUAUCUGUUUGAGAAUCAGUUUAACUAUCAAUGCUUUGCUUAGUUGCCAAACAUUGGAAUUGGGACUCGUUGAUUUUAUCAAGGGACCUUGAAUAUAUUUGUAAAUGAUUUUUUUAUCAUGGCAAGACCAAUGAAGAAAUUCUUUGACUGCUCUUGAUGAAUAAUUAUUAAAUAAAAUACGGAGUAAAAUCCAAGACUUGAUCUCAAAUCAGAUAAGACUACCCGCUGAACUUAA
rnacentral:misc_RNA from 1 species